CCUACGGGAGGCAGCAGUUAGGAAUCUUCCACAAUGGGCGCAAGCCUGAUGGAGCGACGCCGCGUGAGGGAUGAAGGUUUUCGGAUCGUAAACCUCUGAAUCUGGGACGAAAGGCGCUUCGGCGAGAUGACGGUACCAGAGUAAUAGCACCGGCUAACUCCGUGCCAGCAGCCGCGGUAAUACGGAGGGUGCAAGCGUUACCCGGAAUCACUGGGCGUAAAGGGCGUGUAGGCGGGAACUUAAGUCUGGCCUUAAAGACCGAGGCUCAACCUCGGGGAUGGGCUGGAUACUGGGUUUCUAGACCUCUGGAGAGGUACUCGGAAUUUCUGGUGUAGCGGUGGAAUGCGUAGAUACCAGAAGGAACACCGAUGGCGAAGGCAGAGUACUGGACAGAAGGUGACGCUGAGGCGCGAAAGUGUGGGGAGCAAACCGGGAUUAGAUACCCGGGGUAGUCCACACCCUAAACGAUGUACGUUGGAUGACAGCAGGAUGCUGUUGUUGUCGAAGCUAACGCGAUAAACGUCCGCCUGGGAAGUCGGCCGNAGGUUNAACUNAAUGAUUGACGNUGNGAGNGCGAGCGACGACGAGGAGUAGG
rnacentral:rRNA from 1 species